rnacentral:rRNA from 1 species
UACGGAGGGAGCUAGCGUUGUUCGGAAUUACUGGGCGUAAAGCGCGCGUAGGCGGCUUUGUAAGUUAGAGGUGAAAGCCCGGAGCUCAACUCCGGAACUGCCUUUAAAACUGCAUCGCUUGAAUCCAGGAGAGGUGAGUGGAAUUCCGAGUGUAGAGGUGAAAUUCGUAGAUAUUCGGAAGAACACCAGUGGCGAAGGCGGCUCACUGGACUGGUAUUGACGCUGUGGCGGCGAAAGCUAGGGGAGCCGGAACGGG